rnacentral:rRNA from 1 species
CCUACGGGUGGCAGCAGGGAGGAAUAGUGGUCAAUGGGCGAGAGCCGGAACCAGCCAAGUCGCGUGAAGGAUGAAGGAGCUAUGGGUGGUAAACUUCUGUUAUAGGGGAAUAAAGUGAGGAACGUGUGCCUUUUUGUAUGUACCAUAUGAAUAAGCAUCGGCUAACUCCGUGCCAGCAGCCGCGGUAAUACGGAGGAUGCGAGUGUUAUCCGGAUUUAUUGGGUUUAAAGGGUGCGUAGGUGGUUAAUUAAGUCAGCGGUGAAAGUUUGUGGCUCAACCAUAAAAUUGCCGUUGAGACUGGUUGACUUGAGUAUAUUUGAGGUAGGCGGAAUGCGUGGUGUAGCGGUGAAAUGCAUAGAUAUCACGCAGAACUCCGAUUGCGAAGGCAGCUUACUAAACUAUAACUGACACUGAGGCACGAAAGCGUGGGGAUCAAACAGGAUUAGAUACCCUAGUAGUC